GAUGAACGCUGGCGGCGUGCCUAAUACAUGCAAGUCGAACGCGCCGAGAAGGGAACUUGUUCCUUUCAACGCGAGUGGCGAACGGGUGAGUAACACGUGGGAAACCUACCCUUCAGCGGGGGAUAACCAUCGGAAACGAUGACUAAUACCGCAUAGUUGUUCUAGUCGCAUGACUGGAAUGGGAAAGACGGCUUCGGCUGUCACUGAAGGAUGGUCCCGCGGUGCAUUAGCUAGACGGUGGGUAACGGCCUACCGUGGCUUUGAUGCAUAGCCGACCUGAGAGGGUGAUCGGCCACAUUGGGACUGAGACACGGCCCAAACUCCUACGGGAGGCAGCAGUAGGGAAUCUUCCGCAAUGGACGCAAGUCUGACGGAGCAACGCCGCGUGUGUGAAGAAGGUCUUCGGAUCGUAAAGCACUGUUAUCAGAGAAGAAUAGCCUAUAGAGUAACUGUUAUAGGUUUGACGGUAACUGAUCAGAAAGCCACGG
rnacentral:rRNA from 1 species